CACAACCAGGAGAUACUGUCUACAGAAAGACCUUGAAUCUCCCUGGAAAAUUUUCGCCUCUUGCAAUGAGUACAAAAUUAGCAAUUCAUCAAGGAAUGAAGAUCUGUUUAGUAACAGGAUUAGCCAUAGAAGAAACUUGUUAUGCUCAGACUAUUUCAUGACAGACUUCUUGUUUUCGAAGAGAAAAGGUCCUCUUACUAUAAAUGAAACUAGGAGACUUUACUCGGACUACAGCAACCGGGAGAUGGCAGGAUCACAAUGGGGAGCAAGAGAAAUCAAGCUCAACUCUGAAUACAGCGAGGACCAGUGGACAUUUAUCAUGGAGUGAUGGGGUUAAGGUUGUGCAAUUACGAAGAGGUGACAUCAAGGGCAGGGUGGAUCAAAGGCAGACUCGGACUUCAAGAGUGGGAGAGGAAGAACUCCAUCAGAACUGCCUGUGACAACGCUUGGAGCGGUUGUUUUUCCAGCCAUCUGAACAGAGGGAAUAUUUCACACUUCAGAAAUAGCACAGCAGCAGAAUCACAUAAGACCCUACAAAGCACCCAUCUGCUCGAUACCGAAUAAGCUCUGUCAGGGAAACGAUAAACCAAAGUCAAAAUCAUCAAGUUGCUGGGCCUCCCCUGGUGGCGCAGGUGGAUGAGUGUUGCGCUGUGUAGCUGUCUGCAGCCUCUGAAGCAUCGAUUCGAUCCUGGCCGGCCAGUGAGGGUCCCACAUGGUGCGGCAGACCUCUCCUGUCUUGCCUACUGCUCCCCUCAGCAGUGUAUUUCGUCAGUCUGCCUGUUCUGCUCCCCGCUCUGUCUCUGGUGAAUCCUCUCACCCUCCCGUGCAUCUGGCCUUUA